GGAUGCGAUCAUACCAGCACUAAAGCACCGGAUCCCAUCAGAACUCCGAAGUUAAGAGUGCCUGGGCGAGAGUACUACUAGGAUGGGUGACCUACUGGGAAGUCCUCGUGUUGCAUUCC
rnacentral:rRNA from 1 species